rnacentral:lncRNA from 1 species
GUAGCAAAAACAGAUACGUAAUAUUUCGUGGCAAAACAUGGCUUAUUUGCUACGAAUUCAUCGUCUCAAAGGCGUAGCAUUUUGCUUCGACUUUUGCUACGAUUUUUUUCUGCUACGAUCGUAUAGCUACCAUUUUAUUUUCGUAGCAUUUUCGUAGCAAGAACUCAUAUAGCUACGAAAUGUGUCCCAUAGCUACGAAAAUGCACCGUGGCUAUGACCGUUUUUUUACUAGUGAAGGUGCCCAUGCCAGCGAAGAACCACAAAGCUCUGCCCACCUAUACCAAGGAAAGCAGGGGAAGAAGAGAAACAACUUGAGAGGGAGGGAGAAUAGAAGCAAACC